rnacentral:tRNA from 1 species
ACCUGGCUGGCUCCGUUGGUUGAGCAUCUGACUCUUGAUCUCAAGGUUGUGAGUUCAAGCCCCACGUUGGGCA